GACGAACGCUGGCGGCGUGCUUAACACAUGCAAGUCGAACGGAAAGGCCCCUUUGGGGGUACUCGAGUGGCGAACGGGUGAGUAACACUUGAGUAACCUGCCCUUGACUUCGGGAUAACUUCAGGAAACUGGGGCUAAUACCGGAUAGGAAUCCUUGCUGCAGGGUGGGGGUUGGAAAGCUUCGGCGGUUUUGGAUGGACUCGCGGCUUAUCAGCUUGUUGGUGGGGUAGUGGCUUACCAAGGCUUUGACGGGUAGCCGGCCUGAGAGGGCGACCGGCCACAUUGGGACUGAGAUACGGCCCAGACUCCUACGGGAGGCAGCAGUGGGGAAUAUUGCACAAUGGGCGGAAGCCUGAUGCAGCAACGCCGCGUGCGGGAUGACGGCCUUCGGGUUGUAAACCGCUUUCAGCAGGGGCGAAGCUUGUGGUGACGGUACCUGCAGAAGAAGCACCGGCUAACUACGUG
rnacentral:rRNA from 1 species